UUUAUAUAUAUAAAUACACUUGCUUGUUAAAAAUACUAUAAACAAUUGCAUUCCCUAACAGUACCAAAACAGAUAAACAUAAUCUUAUUAGCAACAAACAUUUCAGCUGGGCUGGUAUGAAUCUCCAACAAAAUAAACUUGAAUAUAGUGUCAAGUGGGUUAAAAGGUGUAGCAGUCCAAACUUAGAAGAGAGAUUUAUACUGGCACCAGUUAACGAAAGAGCAUGAAGAGAAGAUUUCAUCCGACGGCAAACACAAAAUUAGGAACAAACCACCCCCUCGAUCGCUUCACCAUAUAUAAUAUUACUUCUCAGUCCAGGUUUCUUAUUAAAAUAAAAAAAGAGCAUACCACAUAAACAAAUUAUUUGUUGGAAUCAUAUAAGUUUCAAAAGAAAAACUAAAUGUAUAUAAUAAAGGAAGAUGAGGUUUGUAGUGCCAAACUA